rnacentral:rRNA from 1 species
UACGGAGGCAGCAGUGGGGAAUAUUGCACAAUGGGCGCAAGCCUGAUGCAGCCAUGCCGCGUGUAUGAAGAAGGCCUUCGGGUUGUAAAGUACUUUCAGUCGUGAGGAAGGUGUUAAGGUUAAUAACCUUAGCAAUUGACGUUAGCGACAGAAGAAGCACCGGCUAACUCCGUGCCAGCAGCCGCGGUAAUACGGAGGGUGCGAGCGUUAAUCGGAAUUACUGGGCGUAAAGGGCACGCAGGCGGUUAAUUAAGUUGGAUGUGAAAUCCCCGGGCUUAACCUGGGAAUGGCAUUCAAGACUGGUUAGCUAGAGUCUUGUAGAGGGGGUAGAAUUCCAUGUGUAGCGGUGAAAUGCGUAGAGAUGUGGAGGAAUACCGGUGGCGAAGGCGGCCCCUGGACAAAGACUGACGCUCAUGUGCGAAAGCGUGGGGAGCAAACAGGAUUAGAUACC